rnacentral:lncRNA from 1 species
AGAGCAACAUGGGCAGAGGCUUAGCACAGAGCUUCAAAGGGCCAGAUUGGUGGCCAGGCUUGGUUGGGGUGGCCAUUCAUUCUGUUCACAACCAAUUCCACUUCUGAGCCAAUCACUAGAUUUAGCAGUUCCCCAGCUCUAGUCUUUUAUAUUCAUUGCUUUAUUCAAGUUGCCAGCAUUGAGAGCACAAGUAGCAGUAAUUUCUCUGCCUUUCAUGUGUGAUGUUUCGAUUGAUUUGAAAGUCAGGACAACCCUCAAAGUCUGGAGAGCAAGUGGUCCAUUGUCUGCUUGAGCAGAGUUAUUUUUCUUUCUUUAAGUCAUUGAUUCUCAACCUUGGCUGCACAUUAACAUCACCUGGGGGCAUUAAAAAUAGUAGAAAUCCCCUGGCUCCACCCCAAACCAAUGAAAUUCAAAUCUCAGAGUGGAGCCUAGCUUCUGUAUUUGUUUUAAAAGUUCCCCCAGAUAAUUGUAAUUUGUAGCAUGGGUUAGGAAAGUCUGCUUGAGGCCAAGGUAGCCUGUUCUCAUGUGUAAAGGUGACAUUUCUAUCAUUGAUUUUUUUCUCAGGAAUGAUUAUGAAACAAUUAACAACAAUUAACCAGACUCUGAGUAUCCUAUUGAUGAGAACAACACCUGCAUGAGAUUAUGAAAUAAGAUAGCAAAUGAAAACAUGAUUUUUUUCAAAUAUAAACUGGGGUUUGAUUUGCAUGCAAAAUAAAUAGUCUUGCAAACAAAGUGACUAUUUAAAAAGUUAAAUAUCAUGUUAGUGAAUUGCAAAAAAAAAAAGAAAAGAAAGAUGGGAUACAUUAACAACUUGGUGAAAACAUCAAUGUGACUGUUUCAGUUUGGAGUCUGUCAUUGAAUGCAGAUUUAUCUUUUUUUAAUGAUCUAACAGAAAUAAUUAUUUCUGUUGAUAAGGUGCCAAGUUGUUUAUAUAAACAUAUUGGCAAAAUAUUUUAUUUAGCAAGACUGGAAAAUGAAUCUCUAUUGGUAUACAUACUCUGUUUUUUUCUCCUUCCUUCCUUCAUUCAUUCCAAAAAUAUUUAUUGAACCCUCUCCUUUGGGUACCCAGCACUGGACUAGGAAACAGGUUACCAUGUUUGUGAUUACCAUGGAUUAGGUUUUUGACCUCUUGAUCUUUGCAAUCUAAUGAAAGAAAGACAGUAAAUAAGGAAACAAAUGGAAGAUUGUAUUAAGUGCAAUGAAGAAAACAAACAAGAUGUCCUGAUUGGGGAAAACUGUGUGUGUGUGUGUGUGUGUGUGUGUGUAUGCAUGUUGGGGAAUCUACUGAGAUAGAAUCUCCUCCCUUCUGAGCCAAGACUGCAGGGUGAGUAGUACCAGUUGUCAGACAAGGGGUUGCAAGGCACAGGCAGCAGAGGCAGGGGAAAGCAGAGUGUCCAGAGCUCUGAAAGGAAUACAUCCCACAACAGAGAGUUGUCACAGCCUGCAUUCUUUACUAUUUCUUUUAUUUUUCAGACUGUAUUCUUUACUUCUUUUAUGGGCCUCUCUCCUCAUUGUAAUAUCAAUUGAAGUCAAUAUUUAUUGCAUAGUUCCCAAGCAGUAGGAGUUAAAAUAGGCCCUAAAGAUGCAAAGCAGAAAGAAAGAAACCUGUGGUAGGAGGAAGAAUGUAAAAAAGGUAUUACCUACCUGAAGAGAGGUAUUACACACCUGAAGGUGUGUUGGUUCAGAAAACGGCAAAGAAAAGUUACUACUUAGGGAUCUGAAGAAUGAAACAGGACCUCAUCCAUGAGAAGGAUUCUGGGAGAUCAGAGUCAUGAUCCCAGGAUGUUUGGUUGGCAACAGUUGAAGUUGGAGGGGAGAAACACAUGCAUGUAAUAGAAAAAAAAUGUAUUUACACCUAGAAAGAGAAUUUGAGAACCAUCUCAGUUCAGUCCUCCAUAUUUGUAACCCAAUAUGGGUGCUUUGAAAAUAGUUCAGAGUCAGAGCUGACUUUGCAGUGAGCUCUGAGAGUGCUGCAUAUGAGAGUGACCCAAGGAGCAACAUCCAAGCCCUGAAGUCUAAGCUCCACCACUGACAAUAAAUCCAAAUUUCUAUGAGAUAGGGCCAGAGAAUGACAACUGGGAGUUAAAAACAAAUUUAAGAAAGAUUAUAAAUCACCAUCCCUGCCCUCACAGGGCUUCAGUCUUCAUAAAAUGUCAAUGCAAAAUGAUAAAAUGGCAAGAACAAAAUGUCUCCCUCAAGCUAUUCUUUCUUUGACUCCUUCCAUCCCUAAUUGUGAGACAUUCAGAAAUUUCUAAGCAUUUUCUCAUGUCAUUUUUUUUUCUUUUUGCCUAAAACAUCACCUUUUUUAUUCCUGACUAGGAAAAUUUGACUCCUCAUUUAAGAAUAAGUUCCAAUAUUAUCUCUUAAGAGGAACAUGUAUUCAUACUUCUAGGAAAAAAAUCACUGUUCCUUGGCAAAAGAGUAUGUGGAAAGUUCUGUUGAAGUAUUUCUCAUGUUGGUCAUCAUGUGAAUACUUUACAUACCAGACUGUAAACUUCUCAAAGGCUUAGUUAUAUUAGAAUGCACAGCACCUGGCCUGGGGCCUAUAACGAUUGUCUUGAAUACAUGGAGGAGGGAAAGAGGGAAGAAGGAAGCAAGUGAAUCAGAAUGAGUAUAGUUUGCACACUGGGGUGCCUUUGGCAGUCAGAACUGUGCAGGUACCAGAGACUUCAGGGCAAAGGGCAUGAAAAGGGAAAAUAGAUAUGCCAGAAAGAGUUUGAUAAUGUGCUUUCAACAUUUUUAACUUAUUUUUAGAUCUUUUUAGCUUUAGAAUGCUUUCUUCAAAUAAAUUCUUAUUAAGUGAUCCAACAUAUAAUAGAAUUUGAUAGUUCUCAGAGUAUGACCCUCAGACCAAUAGUAUCUUGGAACUUGUUAGAAAUGCACAUCUUCACAACCUGGCUUAGAUCUCCUGAAUCAGCAGAUCUGGGGAUGGGACUCGGCAUUCUGCACUUAAAAGUUUUUCCAGGUAUUGUUGAUGUGUGGUCAGGCUUCAGAACAGUGGAAUUACUUUGAUUGAAAUAUUGUUGGUCAAUAGCUGACAAUCCCCAAGCCCUAUUCAGUUCAUACACCCAUUUAGGUUUUGCAGGGACCCUUUCCAUAGGGUUUCAAAGUUCUUACAGAAUCUAAAAUCUAAUCAGCUGGCCUUGCAGGUUUGGGUCCUCUUCUGUGUUAAACACAAUCCUCAGUUGGCCUGACUCCAGAGCUCUGAUGGUUCUCUGCAUGUGUACUUCAAAGAGGAGUUAUUUCUAUUGAUCAGCUUUAGAGCCAGACUUUUGCCAAUUCACACAACUUCAUAUCUAAUAAUUACCAGAACUCUUGCCUGAAAAAAAAUCAGUGAAAGCAGUUGCCAUUUUGAUAUGUGCAGUCAGUUCAACACUGUACACUUUCUACCAAACAAUGGCUUCAUAAUAUUGUAAACUCCAUACCUGGCCAUCCGCACUUCUGCAAGUGCCAUAGACAUAGCAUAUGCUAAAUAGAUCCCCAAGCUACCAUUCCAGUGAAUCACAUAUUAGCCAGUUGAAGUCCUUAUUCCGAGAUGCAAUCUAAUCUGAGGGUUUUUUCCUCCUCUACUUAAGAAUUCAUAGCUGUGUUAAUAUAGCAUCCCUCCUCAUUACAUGGCUUCUGAGUAAGUUAUAUAGUAAUGAUGAAUGAUAAAUCAGAUGGCCAAGCCUAUAUUACUCAUGACAUUUUAACAGUAUUAAUCUGGGAUAGCUUUUAAUUGUCCAUUCUACAGUCUUUAAUGCUAAAGAGAUAUAGAUGUUUCCAUUAUUCUAAUUGUAUUUCAAAUAAAUGUAUGGGCUCACGUUUUCCCUCUAACCCUGUAAAAAAAUAAGGCUAAAUUAGAGAUGUCUCUAUGCAUGAAAAAUGAAUUAUUUUAUAGCAAAACCUUGAUUAAUCACACUGGAAAAUAGCAGGAACCUCAAUUAACUGUACAUUGUCUGCACUUGGCUUGUCAGAAAAUGACAUAAAGGAUAGGAAAAUAAAGUUUCAUCAUGAAUUCAAAAAAAUUUUUAAAAAAGGGUUCAAAGCAACCUCUUUUGUCUUUCAUAUCCUGUAAUCUAGUUAAGUGAAAAUUGAUGUUUGGAUAACCUUGUGGUCCAGUAAGAUUUUCAGUUAUAAAACAAAAAGUCGAUUAUUUUCAAAGGCUCCAUUUGCAAGACAAGAAAUGGACUAAUGCAUUUUCAAAGGAGUUUCACCAGGACUAUUGAGACAAAUUGGGUUAAUUUCGAAGUUAUCGAAAAGACCACUUUCCAAGUGUUCUACUUAAUCAAACUUUUAUUACAGUAACUGCAUAUAUUGAUCACAUUUAGGAGAAAGAUGGAAUC